UAAAGCCUUUCUUUGUCAAGAACCAUCUUCCAAAGAUAAUGGAAUGGUGGAUUGGGUGUUGUGUGAUGUUUGUCAACAAUGGUACCAUUGGGAUUGCGUUGGCAUUACGACGAAGCCGAAAGGAAAAUUUGAUUGCGGAUGCAAUGUAUCUUACUUUACUCAUGGAUCUGCGAAAACAUUUGACAUAAAUAUAAAGGGAAAUCGCUCAUUCAGAGGAUUAAA